CCUACGGGAGGCACCAGUGGGGAAUUUUGGACAAUGGGCGAAAGCCUGAUCCAGCAAUGCCGCGUGCAGGAUGAAGGCCUUCGGGUUGUAAACUGCUUUUGUACGGGACGAAAAAGCUCCUUCUAAUACAGGGGGCCCAUGACGGUACCGUAAGAAUAAGCACCGGCUAACUACGUGCCAGCAGCCGCGGUAAUACGUAGGGUGCGAGCGUUAAUCGGAAUUACUGGGCGUAAAGCGUGCGCAGGCGGUUAUGUAAGACGGAUGUGAAAUCCCCGGGCUCAACCUGGAAACUGCAUUUGUGACUGCAUGGCUAGAGUAUGGUAGAGGGGGAUGGAAUUCCGCGUGUAGCAGUGAAAUGCGUAGAUAUGCGGAGGAACACCGAUGGCUAAGGCAAUCCCCUGGACCUGUACUGACGCUCAUGCACGAAAGCGUGGGGAGCAAACAGGAUUAGAUACCCUCGUAGUC
rnacentral:rRNA from 1 species